GUCCACGCCGUAAACGAUGAAUGUUAGCAGUCGGGGUGUAUACACUUCGGUGGCGCAGCUAACGCAUUAAACAUUCCGCCUGGGGAGUACGGUCGCAAGAUUAAAACUCAAAGGAAUUGACGGGGGCCCGCACAAGCGGUGGAGCAUGUGGUUUAAUUCGAUGCAACGCGAAGAACCUUACCUACUCUUGACAUCCAGAGAACUUAGCAGAGAUGCUUUGGUGCCUUCGGGAACUCUGAGACAGGUGCUGCAUGGCUGUCGU
rnacentral:rRNA from 1 species